rnacentral:rRNA from 1 species
UACGUAGGGGGCUAGCGUUGUCCGGAAUCAUUGGGCGUAAAGCGCGUGUAGGCGGCCCGGUAAGUCCGCUGUGAAAGUCGGGGGCUCAACCCUCGGAAGCCGGUGGAUACUGUCGGGCUAGAGUCCGGAAGAGGCGAGUGGAAUUCCCGGUGUAGCGGUGAAAUGCGCAGAUAUCGGGAGGAACACCAAUGGCGAAGGCAGCUCGCUGGGACGGUACUGACGCUGAGACGCGAAAGCGUGGGGAGCGAACAGG